rnacentral:rRNA from 1 species
AACGUAGGUACCGAGCGUUAUCCGGAUUUACUGGGCGUAAAGCGCGUUCAGGCGGUUUGGCAAGUCGGGCGUGAAAUCUCUCGGCUCAACCGGGAGAGGUUGUCCGAUACUUCCAGACUUGAGGGCAGUAGAGGGUGGUGGAAUUCCGGGUGUAGUGGUGAAAUGCGUAGAUAUCCGGAGGAACACCAGUGGCGAAAGCGGCCACCUGGACUGCACCUGACGCUGACACGCGAAAGCUAGGGGAGCGAACGGG